rnacentral:rRNA from 1 species
ACGCUCGACACCUACGGGAGGCAGCAGUGGGGAAUAUUGCACAAUGGGGGAAACCCUGAUGCAGCGACGCCGCGUGAGCGAAGAAGUAUUUCGGUAUGUAAAGCUCUAUCAGCAGGGAAGAAACUGACGGUACCUGACUAAGAAGCACCGGCUAAAUACGUGUCAGCAGCCACGGUAAUCUGAGCGGGCUGGCAAGGC